rnacentral:tRNA from 1 species
GCGGUGGUAGCCCAAUUGGCAGGAGGCACGAGGAUGAGGUUCUCGACAGUGUGGGUUCGAAUCCCUCCCACCGCA